CGCGGGGUGGAGCAGCCUGGUAGCUCGUCGGGCUCAUAACCCGAAGGUCGUCGGUUCAAAUCCGGCCCCNACGG
rnacentral:tRNA from 1 species